GCCGUGAGCGGUGGCUCACAAGCACCUGAGGCCACAGGAUGUGCAAAACCAGGGUGGUGGUGGGUCUGGGGCACAUUCCCACGAUUUCAAGCUGGAAGCACCCAGGACAGAGCAGAACAGUGGCUCAGCCCGGGGAGCGGCCUGUGUCACCGGCCUCUCCCCACACAGCCCGCUGAUAACCAAGGCCGGCUCUCCCUCCCACCUGUUUGCACACUGCGCGUCUUCACUCUUCACUGGACACGCGGUGCUCCGCUGAGCGGCUCAAUCAGGACUGAUUACUCCAAUCUGCUCGGAUGCGCUCAGCACUCCGUGACUCGCCCCGCUGGGCCACCCCGCCAAGAUUAACCUGCUACAGACAACUUUUUUUUUUUUCCUCACGGCUCUGAGCAGAUC
rnacentral:lncRNA from 1 species